UAAAGACUUGGACACGGGGGACAGCAGCAAACCAAAAUGCACCACGGAUCACCUCAUGAACCUGCAGCUCCGGGACGCACUACUGGACUUUUACUGUUUGGAAAGACUCAUAGACAAAGACAUGCUGGUGCAAGAAGGAAUGAGCAGAGGAAAGAGAGUAGCUGGUGGAGGGGAGAGCUGGAGACUGACCACUGGGUGUGAAUGAAUAAAAUAGGGAAGAGGGUCCACUUCAGAAGCUUUAGGUUGUGCAUCCUCCGGAUCACGUUAACAACCAUCCUUCACCAGUAAUACCCUCUGUCCUCCAGAGCUGUGGAGUGUGACAAUGGUGUUUGUGUCCUGUGUAUCAAACGCCAUUAUCACACUAAAUAGCUACAGUGUGAAAAGGACCUCAGUGUAGUCCACCGUUUCCUGGUAUGCCUGUUUUCCUCUUUUGCCAUUUGUUUGUUCGGUCACUCCUGUAUAGUCUUUAUUUAAGUGUUUGGUUUUUUUGUAGAUUCUUAACAGUUUCUUCUUACAUAUUGUAAAGUCUGAAAAUGUUUCCCCACGUGUGAGUCUUGUCUAUAGCCUGCAACAUUUUACACCACACGGGUGGGGCAGGAAUAAAAAUAGACAUAUGCAGGUUAUUGAUUCAUCAUACAUGAUGUUGAGCCUCUGAGUGUGACCCACUUCCCUUUGCAUUUGGGGCGCUAAUUUGCUGCUGGACACCAUCUCCUGUAAGUACAGAUAAGAAUAGAUGUCCCAUUUGUUUUCAUGUUUCUGCCAUUUAUUGUGUUGUCAAUUCAAACUUUCUCCAAAACUAUAAAGUGAUCAUCUAAUUAAAUGAUUAGUGAUGCUGUAUUUUACGACUGCCUACACCUUUGCAAAUGACAUAAAUAAACAGUGCUUGUUUUGUU